rnacentral:rRNA from 1 species
ACGAAUGCUGGCGGCGUGCUUAACACCUGCCAGUCGAACGGAAAGGCCCUGCUUUUGUGGGGUGCUCGAGUGGCGAACGGGUGAGUAACACGUGAGUAACCUGCCCUUGACUUUGGGAUAACUUCAGGAAACUGGGGCUAAUACCGGAUAGGAGCUCCUGCUGCAUGGUGGGGGUUGGAAAGUUUCGGCGGUUGGGGAUGGACUCGCGGCUUAUCAGCUUGUUGGUGGGGUAGUGGCUUACCAAGGCUUUGACGGGUAGCCGGCCUGAGAGGGUGACCGGCCACAUUGGGACUGAGAUACGGCCCAGACUCCUACGGGAGGCAGCAGUGGGGAAUAUUGCACAAUGGGCGGAAGCCUGAUGCAGCAACGCCGCGUGCGGGAUGACGGCCUUCGGGUUGUAAACCGCUUUCGCCUGUGACGAAGCGUGAGUGACGGUAAUGGGUAAAGAAGCACCGGCUAACUACGUG